AUUCAUUAAGAAGAAAAGCAAUUAAAGAAAGAAAAAGAGAUUCGAUUGUUGUCGUCGUCUCUUUCACUUAGGCAAAAAUUUCUUAUUCGCGUCGUCGGAAAAAUUAUCAUCGAAUCUUUCAUCGGCGACACCACAAUCAGAUCUGACAAGGAGAGAGAACUUUCGAUUUUCAUCACCAAAAGAAGAAAGGCGAAGGCUUUGUGGUGUUCCACCGUCUCCGAUCUCCACUCACAAGCUCUUCUGCCUUUGGAGAAUCUGGCGGCUCGUAGAGGCAAAAGAGAAGUGGAUCCAUUGGUGGAGACGACGAAGUUGAGAUUUGUAAAUUCGUACAGAACUACACGCAGCUACAAAUGAAAGAGAGAAUCCUUUUCCCUGAUCGCAAAUCUGUUGAUCGAGGGAUGUGCAAAAGUACAAACGAGGAAUACCAUUGAUGAAUGGAGUCAAAGAGUACAUCAAAUCGAAUAUUUUUGAGGAAUGUAGUAAUUCCGAGCUCGAUCUGUACAGAUCCGCUGGUUUUUUGAUCGAUUUGUUGAAUUUGAGGAAUUGGUUCCGGAAUUGUGCUGCUUGAGUUCUAUGCUGCUCCUGUUCUUGUUAGAAGAAGAUUUGGUGGAGUUAAGUUUGGAUGACGUACCCAUGGAAGUCUUAGUGAGUUCCAUGGCUUCAAAGGAGUAUCUCUAUAUAUACCUUUUGACAAUCUUUAUAUAUCCCUUUAUCGUGCAUUAGUAGUCUCUGAUUUGAAAGACUUUAAACAGAGAUAGUUCUUAUUGACAUAUAUAGAGAUAGUUCUUUGCUGAAUACCUUUUAUGCAACAUGGCAGAACAUUUUGUACCGGCUAUUUAUGAGUGGCUUCGUAUAAAUAUGCAAUUUGGUGAAGAUGGUUUUCUCCUCCAUCUAUUAUUAUUGAGGAAUUUAAUGUUGUGUUACAGACGAGUCUUUUUGUUCUCUUGACAUUUGAAUAUAGUGGUGAUGUGGUCUGUAGCAUGGUUGCAUCUCCUGAAUUGUACUUGUGAUUUCUUUUCUAACAGAGCUUCAACACUUGAACAGAGCUUCAACACUUGAGGAACAGUCUACCUGAUCAAGUUGGGGUCUAGAGAAUCGAGAAAUGACUGUCUGCUCUUGGAAAUUGCAUUGCCUGCAUUGUCCAUGUUGCUCUUGCUCACACCUUUCUGCGGGUAUAACUGUUAAUGAUUGGAUAGCUUGCUGCGGUUCAGACAAAACCGCAACAGAUCUCUAUGUUAUAGACAACCUCUUCAACCCAGCUCUAUCGUCGAUGAGAUGAGGAAGUCUUUGAUCGAUACCUAUAUAAAAUUCUGCUUGUUUGGAUGAAACACAUAACAGUAUCCCCAAGCGUCAACGUUUGAAAUUUUUUUUCGUACCUAUUAUCGUCUUUGUAGGCUCUGAAUAUCUCUUUUUUUUUGCAAGAAUUAGUUUCUUUUUACUCGUGUUUUACCUUUUUAACAGAUUAGUUUCUUUAUAAUGAAAGUAAGGUUCUACUAAAAAAAUUGAAUUAACUUCUUAAAUUUGAGUUGUAUAAAUAGGCACAAAAGACUUGAUUAUAAAGAAUAUGUUCUUAAAUUUGUAUGAACUUUUUCUAAAUAUUUAUAAAUGCUUCUGAUGCUU